UACGGAGGAUCCAAGCGUUAUCCGGAUUUAUUGGGUUUAAAGGGCUCGUAGGCGGCCAACUAAGUCAGACGUGAAAUCCCUCGGCUUAACCGGGGAACUGCAUCUGAUACUGGAUGGCUUGAGUUCGGGAGAGGGAUGCGGAAUUCCAGGUGUAGCGGUGAAAUGCGUAGAUAUUGGGAAGAACACCGGUGGCGAAGGCGGCGACCUGGUCCGACACUGACGCUGAGGCGCGAAAGCGUGGGGAGCAAACAGG
rnacentral:rRNA from 1 species